UACGGAGGGUGCGAGCGUUGUCCGGAAUCACUGGGCGUAAAGGGCGCGUAGGCGGCGCGGGGAGUCAACGGUGAAAGCUCGGCGCUCAACGCCGAGUCGGCCGUCGAUACUCCCGUGCUCGAGCACUGUAGAGGCAGGUGGGAAUUCCGGGUGUAGGCGGUGGAAUGCGUAGAGAUCCGGAAGAACACCGGUGGCGAAGGCGGCCUGAGCUGGGCAGUAGCUGGACGCUGAGGCGCGACAGCGUGGGGGAGCAAACAGGG
rnacentral:rRNA from 1 species